AUGUCCUCAAUUUGUCUGAAAGAUCUCUUUGAGUCCAAAGUGGCAGAAACUCCAAUCCAGCAUUUCCAGAGGAGCCCUUCCGUGACAUCUAGCGCUUUGGGUCCUUUCAGGCGCCAAAGUUUCUUUGACCAAGUAGAUCGAUCACUAAAGACAGACAGCCUGACCAUCAAAUCAGCUCUACGUGUGCAGAGACCACACAGUACCUCCAAUGUGCAGGCUAAGAGAUUCACAAAUCUUCUACAUCUUGUAAAAGAAAAGGCCAUUACAGAUUUGCUCAGGAGCAGAAUACAGUCACGGCAGGAAACAUGGGAACAAGAAUCACAGGAGCAGGACAGGCAGCAAAAGGAGCACCAGGCGGCCAAAAGGAGAGUGUUCCAGAACAGAGACCGUUCCCAUCAGAAGAUGGAAGAGAAAGGCCAGAAACACUGUGACCUCCAGCAGUACCUCAGAGACCAGAAUCUUUUGAUGCUCCGGACCUCACUACUAGAGUGAAGAAGCUGCAGUGUGGAAGAGAAACAGCAAGACACACCAAGAGCCAGCUUUAUACAAGAGGAAAGGAGAGAAGAGCUUUUGAAUGCAUUGUACUCUGAUUAACAGAAGCAACUUCAUUCACAAAGGAGGAGGGAGGUUAUGGAUGGCAUGUCCUCAAGUGCUAUCCUUCUUCCUCAUAUCAUCAGCGAUAUAAAGUAUAGCAGCUGUGUCCCAGAGAACACUAUCAGCAGCUUUGAGUGGCCAGAAUUUAACUGUUUCAUUUUCAUGUUAUUUUCACAAGUAGUUAGGAAAUGAGAAUGGACAUGGCACAAUGUAUUUGAUGGACCACUCUGAGCCAUAUCAAAGGCCAUUCUUAGUUCCUACAGAAGUAGGUUAAAUACAAAUUUAAAACGCUUGAGAGCCUUUGUUUUAAGUAAUGCCCAGAAACAAGCAAUACAAAAAUUAAAAUGCUGUUGCCUGACAUUUUGUGUACACUUAGAAACAUAUAACACUAUAUCCACAUAAGUAGUUUCUCUUCUUUGCUUAACCAUCUGAAAACAUACUACUACAGAGCCCUUGUGCCACUGCAAUUUCAUGAAAAAUAUAUCUGGAAAUAUAUUUAGUAUUAAAAUAUUUCCUAUCAUUCACAGACUGUUUCUUACUAUUAAUAUAAGGUCAUAAAAUCAUUUUUAAGAAUACCAUUAAAAUGACUGUAAGAGGC
rnacentral:lncRNA from 1 species